rnacentral:rRNA from 1 species
UACGUAAGGGGCAGGCGUUAUCCGGAUUUACUGGGUGUAAAGGGAGCGUAGACGGCAGAAUAAGUCAGAUGUGAAAGGCCAGGGCUCAACCCUGGGACUGCAUUUGAAACUAUUUAGCUAGAGUGUCGGAGAGGUAAGUGGAAUUCCUAGUGUAGCGGUGAAAUGCGUAGAUAUUAGGAGGAACACCAGUGGCGAAGGCGACUUACUGGACGAUGACUGACGUUGAGGCUCGAAAGCGUGGGGAGCAAACAGG